GACGAACGCUGGCGGCGUGGAUUAGGCAUGCAAGUCGAACGGUAGGAUACCUUCGGGUAUCUGAGAGUGGCGAACGGGUGAGUAACACGUAGGUGAUCUACCCUCAAGAUUGGGACAACCCAGGGAAACUUGGGCUAAUACCGGAUGAAAGCAGCAGUGAUGUUGUUUGAAAGGUGGCGUAAGCUGCCGUUUGGGGGAUGAGCCUGCGCUCUAUUAGUUAGUUGGCGGGGUAAAGGCCCACCAAGGCGAUGAUAGAUAGGCGGCCUUAACGGGUGGUCGCCCACACUGGGAUUGAGAUACGGCCCAGACUCCUACGGGAGGCAGCAGUCGAGAAUAGUCUACAAUGGCCGAAAGGCUGAUAGUGCGACGCCGCGUGAACGAAGAAGCCCUUCGGGUGUAAAGUUCUUUUAUAUGUGAGCAGUGCUUUCUAUUGUGAACAGCAGUGGGGAGAGAGAUAUUAAGCAUAUGAAUAAGCCACGGCUAACUACGUGCCAGCACG
rnacentral:rRNA from 1 species